rnacentral:rRNA from 1 species
CAGGGAAUAUUGGACAAUGGGGGCAACCCUGAUCCAGCCAUGCCGCGUGGGUGAAGAAGGCCCUCGGGUUGUAAAGCUCUUUUGUCCGGAAAGAAAAGCUUCGGGUUAAUACCCCGGGGUUCUGACGGUACCGGAAGAAUAAGCGCCGGCUAACUUCGUGCCAGCAGCCGCGGUAAUACGAAGGGUGCAAGCGUUACUCGGAAUUACUGGGCGUAAAGCGUGCGUAGGUGGUUGUUUAAGUCUGAUGUGAAAGCCCUGGGCUCAACCUGGGAAUGGCAUUUGAAACUGGGCAGCUAGAGUGCGGUAGAGGGUAGUGGAAUUCCCGGUGGAGCAGUGAAAUGCGUAGAGAUCGGGAGGAACAUCUGUGGCGAAGGCGACUGCCUGGACCAGCACUGACACUGAGGCACGAAAGCGUGGGGAGCAAAC